ensembl:snRNA U6 U6 spliceosomal RNA
AAAGCAGGGCUCUAUCCGCUAACGCUGGAACGAAACGCUGAAGACCAGCAUGGCUCCUGCAUGAGGAUGACACACAGAAGUCAGAAAACAAUAGGAAAUUUAU